GUGCUCAAGUGGUUCCUGUUCGGGGAGCGCCCGUACUGGUGGAUGCACGAGUCAGGGAUGGCUGAGCGGGAGCAGCUCCCCCUGCGCCAGUUCCCGAUCACCUGUGAGACGGGACCAGGGAGCCCCUCGGGGCACUGCAUGAUCCUGGGGGCGGCCCUGUGGCCCGUUGUCACCGCCCUGAGCGAGGAAGUGUCCAGGUGCAGCCGGAGGUGAGUGCGGGACGGGCAGA